UACGUAGGAUGCAAGCGUUGUCCGGAAUUAUUGGGCGUAAAGAGCGCGCAGGCGGCCUAUCAAGUCAGAUGUGAAAUAACCAGGCUUAACCUGGUGGGGUCAUUUGAAACUGGCAGGCUAGAGUACAGCAGAGGAUAGCGGAAUUCCCGGUGUAGUGGUGAAAUGCGUAGAUAUCGGGAGGAACACCAGUGGCGAAGGCGGCUAUCUGGGCUGCAACUGACGCUGAGGCGCGAAGGCUAGGGGAGCAAACAGG
rnacentral:rRNA from 1 species